UACGUAGGGUGCAAGCGUUAAUCGGAAUUACUGGGCGUAAAGCGUGCGCAGGCGGUUCUGAAAGACAGCUGUGAAAGCCCCGGGCUUAACCUGGGAAUGGCGGUUGAAACUACAGGACUAGAAUCUGGCAGAGGGGGGUGGAAUUCCACGUGUAGCAGUGAAAUGCGUAGAGAUGUGGAGGAACACCGAUGGCGAAGGCAGCCCCCUGGGCUGAGAUUGACGCUCAGGCACGAAAGCGUGGGGAGCAAACGGG
rnacentral:rRNA from 1 species